CUAAAUACUCCUGACUGACCGAUAGUGAACCAGUACCGUGAGGGAAAGGCGAAAAGAACCCCGGCGAGGGGAGUGAAAAAGAACCUGAAACCGUGUACGUACAAGCAGUGGGAGCACGCUUAGGCGUGUGACUGCGUACCUUUUGUAUAAUGGGUCAGCGACUUAUAUUCUGUAGCAAGGUUAACCGAAUAGGGGAGCCGAAGGGAAACCGAGUCUUAACUGGGCGUUAAGUUGCAGGGUAUAGACCCGAAACCCGGUGAUCUAGCCAUGGGCAGGUUGAAGGUUGGGUAACACUAACUGGAGGACCGAACCGACUAAUGUUGAAAAAUUAGCGGAUGACUUGUGGCUGGGGGUGAAAGGCCAAUCAAACCGGGAGAUAGCUGGUUCUCCCCGAAAGCUAUUUAGGUAGCGCCUCGUGAAUUCAUCUCCGGGGGUAGAGCACUGUUUCGGCAAGGGGGUCAUCCCGACUUACCAACCCGAUGCAAACUGCGAAUACCGGAGAAUGUUAUCACGGGAGACACACGGCGGGUGCUAACGUCCGUCGUGAAGAGGGAAACAACCCAGACCGCCAGCUAAGGUCCCAAAGUCAUGGUUAAGUGGGAAACGAUGUGGGAAGGCCCAGACAGCCAGGAUGUUGGCUUAGAAGCAGCCAUCAUUUAAAGAAAGCGUAAUAGCUCACUGGUCGAGUCGGCCUGCGCGGAAGAUGUAACGGGGCUAAACCAUGCACCGAAGCUGCGGCAGCGACGCUGAUGCGUUGUUGGGUAGGGGAGCGUUCUGUAAGCCUG
rnacentral:rRNA from 1 species